GGAAAUGGCCUCUCUCCUCCCCGGCCUUGGGGAGGGCCUCCUGGGCUGGGCUCCGCGGGUUCCCUCCGGGCCUCAGAGUCCUGGAGUGUGGGCCAGGGCCCCGGGGCGGGGUUUGAGCUGCAGAAACCACCUGCCUAACCUGCACCUGGAGGGCCUGCUGGGGCCUGCUGCCGGGGCCUGUCACCAGGGCCCCCUCCUCUGCCUCGCGUCCCUUGUUUCCUUCCAUAACGUGGAACAUCUCCGACUGGAGGCCGUUCCCACCGGAUGUUGUAGGAUUGCACGAGGAAGGAAACGUCCCCUGGUUCUUUUCCUUUUCCUCUUCUUUUUUUUUUUUGGGGGGGGGGCGCAGGGGAUGGAACCCAGGGCUCUGCACACCGCUAAGCCCCCCCGAGUCAGCCCUCCCCACCAGUGUCAGCCACGUGACAGUGCAAGGCACCUUCUCACUCCAGGAACUUGUCCCAGGUCUCUGUCAUCCUCACUCUGGAAGCAGCCUGCCAUCUUGAAUGUCGCUGUCACACGCAUCUCCUCUUCAAGUGCUCAGAAGUGACACCUGUCACCUCAGGUUCCAUUUCACAGGCCAGAGCAAGCUUCAUGGGCACACCUAACCCCAGGUGGCUAGGCACGGGCCAACCUGUACCCUGGAGGGAAGAGACAAGGCCUUGUCUGAAGAUCUGAUGGUCUUGCAGGUGCCGCAUCAGGCCUGGAAGACGGCAGCAGAAGGGACUAGUCUCUCCUCUCCACGAGCUCAAGGCAUGUGCCCUUUCUGCCCAAAACCUGGUUCAUGGGACUGGUGAGCAAGAGGACAAGUAGGAGAACUCUGAGUGAGUCCCAGGCCCCUCUCUGCCUCCGUUCCUGACCCCGUCCCUACCUGCUCUCACCGGCUACUCCUGGCUGUUGGGUUUGGAAUGUGGCCUCAGGAGGUCCUGGCCUCCGGCUUCAGUGACCCUGUCUCAGUGCCAAGAGCUUAACGGGAUCCCAUUCUGACGGUCCAGUCUCGGCCCGUGCCUCAGAUGUCCCCGAUGGAGGGGAUCUUCGUGCACAGGAGACAUGCCUGGAUCUCACUCCCACUUCCCCAGGAGAGUGGCCGGGGAGCUUGUGUCCUGCAGAGCUGGCCUCUCCCAGCCUCCCCCUGCCCCCGGGUCUCCCAGGCCAGAGCUUUGCGUCUGAUCCCUGGAUCCUGGCAACUCCAUUGCCUCCCGU